AAAGAAGGGAGAGAGAGAGGUGUUAGUUACAGUAGAUAUGGAAAACAGAGAUAAAGAAGGGAGAGAGAGAGGUGUUAGUUACUGUAGAUAUGGAAAACAGAGAUAAAGAAGGGAGAGAGAGAGGUGUUAGUUACUGUAGAUAUGGAAAACAGAGAUAAAGAAGGGAGAGAGAGAGGUGUUAGUUACUGUAGAUAUGGAAAACAGAGAUAAAGAAAGGAGAGAGAGAGGUGUUAGUUACUGUAGAUAUGGAAAACAGA